CCGGGCUCAAUUUCCUUGGAACAGGAGGUCAUGGAGGGUGAGAACCCCGUACAUGGCUUGGGUGUCGCAGUCCUAGUGAUGGUUCCUCUAAGAGUCGGGUUGUUUGGGAAUGCAGCUCAAAAUGGGUGGUAAAUUUCAUCUAAAGCUAAAUAUUGGCGAGAGACCGAUAGCAAACAAGUAGAGUGAUCGAAAGAUGAAAAGUACUUUGAAAAGAGAGUGAAACAGUACGUGAAAUUGUUGAAAGGGAAGCGUUUGGCAUCAGCCCAUGAUGGUCAUCGAACAUCCUGGCUUCUGCCUGGUGCACUCGAUGGCCAUUGGGCCAGCGUCGGCUCUGCCAGCUGGAGAAAGGCCUUGGACAAGUGGCUCCUUUUCGGGAGCGUUAUAACCCAUGGCGUCAUGCAGCUUGGUGGGGCCGAGGUCCGCGGGUUUUCCUAGGACGCUGGCGUAAUGGUUCCAAGCGACCCGUCUUGAAACACGGACCAAGGAGUCUAACAUCUAUGCGAGUGUUUGGGUGUCAAGCCCGACCGCGC
rnacentral:rRNA from 1 species